rnacentral:piRNA from 1 species
UGGGACACCGGGUGGGUAGAAAGCAA